GUGGGGAAUCUUCCGCAAUGGACGAAAGUCUGACGGAGCAACGCCGCGUGAGUGAUGAAGGUCUUCGGAUUGUAAAGCUCUGUUAAUCGGGACGAAAGAGCCUAGUGUGAAUAAUGCUAGGAAGUGACGGUACCGGAAUAGAAAGCCACGGCUAACUACGUGCCAGCAGCCGCGGUAAUACGUAGGUGGCAAGCGUUGUCCGGAAUUAUUGUGCGUAAAGCGCGCGCAGGCGGAUCUGCCAGUCUGUCUUAAAAGUUCGGGGCUUAACCCCGUGAUGGGAUGGAAACUACAGAUCUAGAGUAUCGGAGAGGAAAGUGGAAUUCCUAGUGUAGCGGUGAAAUGCGUAGAUAUUAGGAAGAACACCAGUGGCGAAGGCGACUUUCUGGACGAAAACUGACGCUGAGGCGCGAAAGCCAGGGGAGCGAACGGGAUUAGAAACCCCAGUAGUCC
rnacentral:rRNA from 1 species